rnacentral:rRNA from 1 species
UACGUAGGGGGCAAGCGUUGUCCGGAAUCAUUGGGCGUAAAGAGCGUGUAGGCGGCUCGGUAAGUCCGCUCUGAAAGCCCGGGGCUCAACCCCGGGAGGCGGGCGGAUACUGUCGGGCUCGAGUCCGGAAGAGGCGAGUGGAAUUCCUGGUGUAGCGGUGAAAUGCGCAGAUAUCAGGAGGAACACCAAUGGCGAAGGCAAUCCCCUGGGCCUGUACUGACGCUCAUGCACGAAAGCGUGGGGAGCAAACAGG